UACAGAGGCCUCGAGCGUUAGGCGGAAUCACUGGGCUUAAAGCGUGUGUAGGCGGAUGGCUAAGUACCUUGUGAAAUCCCACGGCUCACCCGUGGAACUGCUGGGUAUACUGGCUGUCUUGAGCCACUUAGGGGCUACCGGAACAAAUGGUGGAGCGGUGAAAUGCGUAGAUAUCAUUUGGAACGCCAAUGGUGAAAACAGGUAGCUGGGAGUGUGCUGACGCUGAGACACGAAAGCCAGGGGAGCGAACGGG
rnacentral:rRNA from 1 species